GACGAACGCUGGCGGCGUGCCUAAUACAUGCAAGUAGAACGCAGUUGCGAACGGGUGAGUAACGCAUAGGUAACUGCCUGGUAGCGGGGGGUAACUAUUGGAAAGGAUAGCUAAUACCGCAUACUACCAGAUGGACCUGCGUUGUAUUAGCUAGUUGGUGGGGUAACGGCUCACCAAGGCAACGAUAAGUAGCCGACCUGAGAGGGUGAUCGGCCACAUUGGGACUGAGACACGGCCCAGACUCCUACGGGAGGCAGCAGUAGGGAAUCUUCGGCAAUGGACGGAAGGCUGACCGAGCAACGCCGCGUGAGUGAAGAAGGCUUUCGGAUCGUAAAGCUCUGUUGUAAGAGACGCGGUACCUUACCAGAAAGCGACGGCUAACUACGUGCCAGCAGCCGCGGUAAUUC
rnacentral:rRNA from 1 species